UACGUAGGGGCAAGCGUUGUCCGGAUUUAUUGGGCGUAAAGAGCGUGUAGGCGGCCUGAAAGGUCAGCUGUGAAAACUCGAGGCUCAACCUCGAGACGUCGGUUGAAACCAUCUGGCUAGAGUCCGGAAGAGGAGUGUGGAAUUCCCGGUGUAGCGGUGAAAUGCGCAGAUAUCGGGAAGAACACCCGUGGCGAAGGCGGCACUCUGGGACGGUACUGACGCUGAGACGCGAAAGCGUGGGGAGCGAACAGG
rnacentral:rRNA from 1 species